GCAGAUGUCUCGCUUAGUCCCUGUUGGGUUGAUCCACCGUGGAUCAGUCCUGCGGGGAGCCGGGGAACCACGUGUUUUCUGGGGUGAAUCGGCAGGCGCGACGGUCGCACGUUGACCGCCGGACCCGCCGUAGGGCAACUUCCCGGCCCGAACCCGUCAGCUCACCCGGUAGGCGUUGAGGAAGAAAGG
rnacentral:sRNA from 1 species